rnacentral:rRNA from 1 species
UAGAGAGAGACAUGCGCGCAUAUCAAUAAGCGGAGGAAAAGAAACUAACAAGGAUUCCCUUAGUAACGGCGAGUGAAGCGGGAAGAGCUCAAAUUUGAAAUCUUCAAGGUUCUACCUUGACGAAUUGUAGUUUAUAGAAGUGUUUUCUGUUAGUGGAGUGGCAAAAGUUCUUUGGAAUAGGACAUCAUAGAGGGUGAGAGUCCCGUAUUUGGUCAUUCCUCCUAGCGUUGUGAUACACUUUCAACGAGUCGGAUUGUUUGGGAAUGCAGUCCAAAAUGGGUGGUAAAUUUCAUCUAAAGCUAAAUAUUGGCGAGAGACCGAUAGCGAACAAGUACCGUGAGGGAAAGAUGAAAAGAACUUUGAAAAGAGAGUUAAACAGUACGUGAAAUUGUCAAAAGGGAAGCGUUUGACACCAGUGUUGUUUUUCCGAAAAUCAAUUACGAAUGUUUUAUUUUUGAGGAGUUAUGACUUCAUCGGCUUGCUCCUUUCUUUAUGAAACUUUCUUAAUGCACUUUUCGGUUAACAAGUCAACAUCAAUUUCUUUUGUUGUAAAAGGGUAUGAGGAAGGUGGCUUUCUUUUCGGAGAAAGUGUUUAUAGCCUUGUGCCUCUGCAAUCGGAGAGAUUGAGGUCUGCAGCGUAGAUCCUUCGGGGUUAGAUACGUUUGUGCUAAGUUAUAGCUUUUCAUAGACAACUUGUUGACUAUGUUUAGUCUUGUAGCUUACUCGCUGACGCUAUUUUACCUACGCUUAGGAUGUUGAUAGUCACAGCGUGUAC